rnacentral:rRNA from 1 species
GACGAACGCUGGCGGCGUGCUUAACACAUGCAAGUCGAACGGAAAGGCCCUGCUUUUGUGGGGUGCUCGAGUGGCGAACGGGUGAGUAACACGUGAGUAACCUGCCCUUGACUUUGGGAUAACUUCAGGAAACUGGGGCUAAUACCGGAUAGGAGCUCCUGCUGCAUGGUGGGGGUUGGAAAGUUUCGGCGGUUGGGGAUGGACCCGCGGGUUAUCAGCUUGUUGGUGGGGUAGUGGCUUACCAAGGCUUUGGCGGGUAGGCCGCCUGGGAGGGUGACCGGCCACAUUGGGACUGAGAUACGGCCCAGACUCCUACGGGAGGCAGCAGUGGGGAAUAUUGCACAAUGGGCGGAAGCCUGAUGCAGCAACGCCGCGUGCGGGAUGACGGCCUUCGGGUUGUAAACCGCUUUCGCCUGUGACGCAGCGUGAGUGACGGUAAUGGGUAAAGAAGCACCGGCUAACUACGUG